rnacentral:rRNA from 1 species
GACGAACGCUGGCGGCGUGCUUAACACAUGCAAGUCGAACGGAAAGGCCCUGCUUUUGUGGGGUGCUCGAGUGGCGAACGGGUGAGUAACACGUGAGUAACCUGCCCUUGACUUUGGGAUAACUUCAGGAAACUGGGGCUAAAACCGGAUAGGAGCUCCUGCUGCAUGGUGGGGGUUGGAAAGUUUCGGCGGUUGGGGAUGGACUCGCGGCUUAUCAGCUUGUUGGUGGGGUAGUGGCUUACCAAGGCUUUGACGGGUAGCCGGCCUGAGAGGGUGACCGGCCACAUUGGGACUGAGAUACGGCCCAGACUCCUUCGGGAGGCAGCAGUGGGGAAUAUUGCACAAUGGGCGGAAGCCUGAUGCAGCAACGCCGCGUGCGGGAUGACGGCCUUCGGGUUGUAAACCGCUUUCGCCUGUGACGAAGCGUGAGUGACGGUAAUGGGUAAAGAAGCACCGGCUAACUACGUG